AGCCUGUGAUGGUUUAAGAGUAGUGGGCAGAAUGGAUUUCUGAACAAUUUUAUUUUGAGGCU
ensembl:snoRNA